ensembl:lncRNA
GGGAUCUCCAAUGAGAGGGCUGGGAAGUGUGGAUCCUGGCUCAACCCUUCCGGUCACUCAGUGCAUUGCAUUGCACGCACCUGAGCUCGUUGGGCUGGCCCUGCCUUCCCACCAGGUGUUCCAUCACUGGCUUGGGCCGUGACUUAGCAUUUCUGCUACAGACAUGAAAUGUAAAAGUUUGGCAGAAAAGAAAGUAAAAUAAAGCCUUACUAGAAGAUAGGAGAGCACUGUUGUGGAGAGCUGAACAAGGUGUGAUGUGGAAGAAGUUUGUUGGUGUGAUCUGCCCUUUUACUGAUAUAUAUACUCAGGCAAAUAUCUUGAGUAGCAUGGAUAACUGUAAUGAUAAUUAUUUAAAAACCUAGCACAAAAAUAUUACAAAACACUAGUCUUUUAUUUUUGUAAAGAAAACAACAAGUCGGCGAGAGUACAAACCUGAUAUUAUAGGGUAUUAAAAAACAGCCAUUAAGACAUUUUGCCCUGGAAAUUGGUAUUUUCGGAGAUGGAAAUUAUAGUCCUGUGCUUCCUGCCAACAGUCUGUAGGCAACAAGGUUUUUCUUUUCAACUGUUAAUUUAUUUUUCUCUAAAGAAUGUGUGUACAUGAGUUAACCAAGCUUGCCCCAUACCUGCUUUUUUGAGCAGAACUAUCUUUCUAGUAGUGCUCUAUAGGAGCAAAGCUCCCUCCCACUUCACAGAAGAUGGCACCAUUCAGAAAGAGUUGUUUCAGAACAUACCUGGUUUAAUGAUAGGAUCAGUGAACACAGCAGUGUUUUCUUGGCAACAGGUUGAAAAGCUUGCAGCUAAACAGUUUCUUUGGAACAGUUUAUUGGCAUUCCAUCUCUGCAUUAGAAACUUGGAUUUCACUUCUUAUUUUGUUUUUCUGUUCCCCUGGUUCAUUUCCUCUAUCGUUUUUUUUCCUAAUGAUACAUAAAAAUAACAUGCUGCGUUCUUUGUCCUGAGCAGAGAAUUAACGGUGUUGCUCUUUGAAUUUGUAAGGAGGCAGAUUUGGUAAGAAUUCUAGUUAUAGGUAUACAUUAUCCAAUAAUGAAAAAGGUAGCUAAAUGAAAAUCAUCAACAGCAUAGGUGGAAAGGAAACAAUUUAAAGAGUUUCAGCAGUGCACCAUGCCUUGGUGAGAAGUGGAAGCAGACCUUUAGAGAUGCAUCCUGGACACUCCUUUUGCCCCCCUUGGUGAAAGAAGGAUGGGAUGCUGCCAGGACAGCCACAGUUUCUGCAACACAAAGCUGAAAUUACAAGAUUGUUGUCGUAAGAAAGCAGAAACAGUGUAUGGCACUCUGUGCCCUGCAGUGCUGCCGUUCUUCCGUUGUUUUUACAAACAUUGCUACCUUUCUAGGCAGCCAGGGCUGCUAAUUUCUUCUCAUUACAACUAUAUGAAAAAGAAGUGAGAGAUACCUCUAGUACACCAAUAUUAAUAUGGUGAAUAAUUAAGCCAUCAAGAAAACUGUGUAUGUUUUCAAAGAAGCCAAGCACCUGCACACGGACAAUUUCUGUCUUAUAGCUGUGUUUGAGAAUAGUGAGAAUGGGGAAAAAAAGCCUUUGCUGUAUCUCCUUCAAGACAGACAGGAGUGUGUUUAUUUUCACCAAAUAUCCAUACACAUAUGACACUCUCUCAGAAAUGGACAGUUGCUGGAAGAGUAACACCUUUUUAUUCCUUAUGAUAUAUGUCCCGCACGUGCAUCUCCUGUAUGUGUGCAAAUACAGGAGGAAGGAAGUCCUGGAAGACUUGGGAGCUCUCAGUGGGAAACCAAGGCAAAGGGCACAGUUCUCAUACAAAUGGGCAAAGGUAUCUACAUUCCACAGUGCCAAGCAACCAUCAAAUCCUGAAGAGAUUCCUAAUCCUUAUUCUUGUCCUUCUUCAGGCAUCUGGGCCUCAUUGAAGUCUUGCAAAUAAUUAAGAAUAUUAGACCUCUGGUUACUGAUCAUCUUGCAGAAGUAUGUAUUUCAUCUAUCUGUCCUGGAUUUCUUUUUGCUUCUACCCCAUAUUGUGAGACAGGAUAUUACAAUAAGUUCUUCAUAUUUCUUUGUCAGUGUAACAACAUUCUCCAGGCAAAAUGUGUCACACUUUUCUCCAUCGGAUUGUUAUUUCUCUAGAGCCAUAAAAGUUGGCAUACCAUAAGUGCCAGUGGUGCUUAAAAGCCUGUCUUGAUGGGGAAAUGGAUUGCAAAAAUAGUAUUUCCUUACUUUUGUAAUGAAAAAAAAAGGAACAGUUUUGUAAAAUAGCUGUUCAGUGAAAUACACAAAAAUGCCAUUAGUAUGAAGGAUAAAAGUUCUCCUGCAAUUCAGGAAGAGACCCUUUUUCGUUGUGCUUUUAUUAUUUGUAAUUAAUGUGCUCACCUCAGAUUUCUGCCAACAGCCCAGCGCAAAAUGAAUCUCUGUGCAUUCUCUCUUUGUUUCUCCUUGUUCUAUCAUGCUGUGUACCAUUAUGAGAAUGUAAGGGAAUAUAUGUAUGUAUAUAUAUGGCAGGAUCUCUAAUCACAUAUUUUUUGCUAAUUUUAGUUCAAAUACAGAGUUAGUGACAAUGUCAAUACAAACACAGUCUGUUUCAAGGUGUGUAUACCCGUGUAACAAAAACAGUCAGGAAAGGACUUAGGGAGCACGGGACAGAGGUGUGCAGCAGAACGCACCUCUUCUGUGCCAUAUCCAAAUACGGUACCUAAUUUUCAAUAGAAAAGGCAAAAACAUGGAAACAUGGCCCCAGUGUCCGCAAAGUGGACACUGCACAAACAGCAGAAAAUGCUUAUUUUUCAUCUAAUGAAGUGACUAGUCAAAUUCUGCUUACUGUAUCCUGUGCGUAGCAUAGUUGCUUAUGCGUAUCAGUAUAGAAUUUAUAUUCCUCUAUCUGCACCAGCCGAAAACACAUACCACAGCCAUAGUGGUGUAGUGUGUACAAAGGAGGCCGAUUCAUUGAGGACAACAGAUAAAGUGUCCAUAGCAGUGAAAGCUCUGGUUACUGAGGCCAAAAAAUGUCUUUUUUCAGCAGAUCAAUUUGGGCACUGACGAAUUAUUUUUCAUUUUUCAGCUGCACAAAACUUUUCCUCGCAUUUCCGUCUUAUUCGAGUGAACUAAUAAGCCCCUGGUACAACUCUUGAUACUGCAUAUCAACUUGUCACGUGUGGCAGCAUUUGCCACAAGAAAAUGUUUAUCUUUUUGCCCCACUCAAAGCAAUCAGCAGAACAGAAAGCUCCUGCAGAAAGACCCUGGCAGUGGCCUGCAGCCUAACAGGACUCCAGUUUGUGCUGUUCUGUUUUUCAUUCCUAUGUCUUUUUUUAUAUGAGUAAGCACAACAUUUUCUAAACUCCAAUGCUAAAGAUUGCUAAUGAAUAGCUACAGCUUGAAGAAAAAGAAAAUCCAAAAGACAUGCAAAUUAUCCUUUGUUCUUUCCAGUUUUUCUAACACCUGAAUGCCAAACACAUACGUCAGCAUUCUGCAGAAUGACAAAACAAAGUCCCUAUCCCCUACUGCAUUUAGAUGUGCUGGUGUGAAAAACAGAAGUGUUGUUCAGUGUUUCAUAGGUGAAACAGGAAAGUACUCUUUCCUCUUUGCUGUGAUAUUGAUAAAAAGAAGUGAGAAUAUGUCCUACACGUAAAUGAUAAUGCUAUCCACUAUUACGCUGCACUUGAAAAGUUAACUUUUAAGAUAAGAUAAACUUGCUGUUACAGGUAUUGUUACAUAUGGUGCAGAAUUAACACUGACCAGGGACGUUUUCUUAGGGAUAUAGGCAAGCAGAAACACAGUGCAGCAGCUCUCCAUUUCUUGCCUGCUUGCAGGUCACUUCUGAUAAAAAAUCAACAUAACCAGACCCACCAAACAACGGUAACACUGGACUGGUGCCCUCCAGCCCCCACCACGUUCACAGAGCACUUGCUGCAGUGCCAAAGCAUUGCACAGCCCCAGCAAGGGCAGGCAUUCAUUCCCCCCUGCACUGUAUGAGCAUCUGUGUUUCAGGACACUGUACUGAGUGUCCUGCUUUUGGAGAAAAUCAAGAGACUUGAAUUCACUAAUUGGUGUAGCUUUUUCACGCAUGCAUGCCAUAGUGGGAUGUUAGCACAAGGUACGUUAUCAGUAAAUUGCAGCUGUGGCUGUCUUCUUUCUGGCAGGAGUGCCUUGAAACAGCAACCUUAUGGUUUUUUUUUUUUUUUUUUUUUAAUUCUUGGAAGUUUCUGUUUAUUAACAGGAUAAUCAGCAAAGGAGGAGAUAGGGAUAAAGCUGGUAUGGGAAGAUAUUGUGGUUAAAGCCAGAGCGGACUUGCCCUGAGCCGCUGCCCCAAAUGACAGGAAUCAGCGUUCUGCAGGGAGCUGCUGGCUGCAACUCCUCACUGUGCCUAGCAAAGUGCAUGCAGUAGCUCACCUUGCCUCAUCCCACCGAAGGCCCUUGGCACCUCCCUGGGAUGUGGAAGUGCCUACAUGACAUACCUUAGCUCUCCUGAGCAGCUCUUCUGCGAUGCAGGUGCAGCAGUGCACUGCACUGUAUCUUGAUUCCCCUCCUUAAAUUUAUUCUCAGGACUGCUAGCUCUGAAGAAGUAUUUUUCUUGACAGCGAUGUAAUGUGAUAAACACAUUUUACAUAUGCACAUUUCAGGGAAAAUCCUAAUUUUGCUACAGUCUAAAGACUCUGACUCUAAGUAUGUGUGUAUGUAAGAAUCAGCUGUUGAAAUCUACAGGCUGCAUCUCCAAACAGUUGUAUGAAAAAUGGCUUCUGUUAAAAAACACAUUUUUUCUGAUAUUCUUAAAAGUUUAUGUGUCACAUGAGAAAAUAACAUAGAACAAAUGUAAAAUCAGAUCAGCUUUAAUGCUCAAAACUAUUGCACUGCUCUUUAUAUAGUAUUGUCACAAGCACAGUUCCCCAGAAGACUCUUAAAAAAUAAUUAGAAUCCCAGUCUUUUCCCAUUAAGUCUGUUUUAUAUAAAGGUGAUAAAAAUUGUAGCUCUGGGAGUAAUCCCUCUGCAGAUCUUUAAUACUGCAGAACAUGACAGAAUCUGUGCAGUCUCACACGUUUUUAACACAUCAGCCACAGAGUCUUUUGGAGCAUUACUUGGAAAUUAAAAGUUUACUGAACAAACCCCUUUAUUCAUAAUAUUAAUAAUUUAGUUAUCUAAUACUUUAUAAGUGCUUUUGGUCAUUUUCAGAGCUGCAUAAGCCUCAAGCCAGCACCUUUCACUCACGUUAGAAGGUGCCAGGAAUCACUUUGUAAUCAACAAGCCAAAUAGAAACACAGAGGUAGUGAUAGGAACAUUUAGAAUUAAUGCAAUGUCUAGCUUUUCUACUGCUUUCUGCCUGGACACGCUACUGAAAUGCUUUUCCACGUUGGAAUGGAUAUGUAAGCAUGUUUUGACCUGUGAGCACAAUACUGUGCAACACAGCUCAUUCAGUCCUUCAAGACAGUGGUUUUCUUAUUGCAGCAUCUACCUGGGCAUCAAGGGUUUGGGGUUCUGGUCAUAACAGCUAGCUCCCCUUGUGACCUACAGGAUAUGACUUAACCUGUAAGAUUUUCCCGCUGAAAAAAUGAGAAACACUUCUUCAGGAAAACGAAGAAGAAAAAUUCCUUGGGGUUAGAACAGUAUAAAAUGGGGGAGAGGUGUGUGAAUCUAGUUUCUUUCCUACGUUACCAAGUAUUCUAAAGGCUCUUUGAAGAUAUUUGGCACUGACAAAGGGACAAAGUGAUGCAGUAUAUUCAUUAUUUCUUCUAAGCUAGUUAGUGAAGUCAAGAAUACGUUUUACACAACCCAGCCCUACAUGUGGCUACUGAAAUAAAUGCUACUAGCACUGCACAUGUGAAGUGAUGAUAUACUGUGCUGCAAUGCCCAGACAAAAACACGGUAUUUACAUUUAUGUGUUCUGCCUUUCCAUCAAGAAAACUGUGGAAAAUUGCAGAAUUUGAGUACUCUGCUGCCUACCAGGAAUAAACUGUGCCUGAGGAGGAGUGUGGACUCAGCAUCGCCCAGCAGGGCCAGCAGCAUCCCUUCCUCCUGCCCACACAAACACCUCCUGAGCAAAAAGUACACUGUCGCUGAGCACUCACAGUGUCUCUUCUAGGUUUCAUCUUCAAUUUCUUUAUUUGGGGACUGUGUGGGGAUGUGAUUUGAAUAUUGGAGUGUGCAUGCCUUUAAUCUAACUAAAAAUACUGGGCAGAUCUUUUAAUUUGAUUAAAAGCCUGAAGUAUGGUCCUAAAAGCAGUUAACAUUCUGAGUGAGGUCCACUAUAACAAAGUCAUUCAAAUCUGUGAAAAAUCUGUGUCACAUUUUUAGACACACAUACUGAAUUCUUAAGUUAAAAACACGCUCAUUGCACCAGCAGAGUGCAACUCACCCUUAUGCCAAAAUAUGUUCCUUUUGCUAGGUACCGUGCAGUUAUCAGCAUGUCCCUCCCAUUUAUGACUUAAUGACAUUCGUUUAUCAACAGGUGGUGGCAUAUCUUGCAAUUACAUUUUAAGCAACAUUAAACGCAACCAAAAAUAAGGUAAAUAAAAGAAAAUCAGUUGCUCUUUGAAAGUGUUUUUAGAGAGAAGCUGUACUUAGAAGCUAGGUCUUCAAGUAGCUCACACCAGGCCCAGCAACACAGAAGAAUACUGCAAGAGCAAUAAGGAUUUUUAGGGGCAUUAUGAUAGUGUAAUGGAAACACAUCUGCCCCCAAAAGUCCCUCAUUUUCCCUGCGGUAAAGAGCCAUGCAGGAAGUGGUGAAUUCUGUGGAACAUUGAGAAUGAAACUAUAAAGCAAUUUUUUUUUUUUUUUGUUAAAACACUUUUCCAACAAUACUUCAGGAUUUCAGCAUUUCCUGAGCCCAGUCCAUAGGAAAACAGUAGUUUUCCAAACAAUCGCUAGCUCACACACCUGGGCUGCAUUAAUCGGUUCUGUCCAUCCACCAAAGUGAAUUCUGACAAAGUUCCCUUGAAAACACUGUUAGUACUGGAAAGCUAGGAGGAGGAACUACACAGAAUUGUAGGGCAAUUUUUGUUCUUUCACCUAUCCAGGAUUUCAAAACAAAGCAGAAUGAUCAACAGGAAUAGUUGACCUGCAUCUCUGUUUUCUAAGGAUUUGCUUCAAGUGACGGUGCAAAGUUAGGUUUGUAGGAAAAGGGAGUACAUAAUAAAGUCAUACAACUGUUACGUUUUGUUUUACAGCAUUUCAAUAUAUUUUAUGUGUAGUCAUGUGAGCAAUUUCCCAUACAUAGAGAAAGUCUGCUCAGAGUACAAACAAAUAGAGGAAUCCCCCUUUGGUUAAGACUGCAUAUUGCAUAUUUACAAAUCUCCAUAGCAAAGCAGCACACUGGAACUGUUAUGCCUAUUCAAAUCAACAAGCCUAAUGAAAAGUCUCUUUUAAAGUAAUUAACUACUACCACUACUACACACUAACUACCACUUAGUGGGCAUAUUCUUCAAUGGAUCUGUGGAGCAUAAUAUAUAGAAUACAAUAUUGUUGGGGAAAACAAACAAACAAACAAACAAAAAAAAAAACAGUAACCAAUUGCUUAUAUGUUAUUUAAUAUGCCAUGCUAUGUAAUCCAUUCGGUCUUUGUUCCUGUACCCAUGUUCCAGAAACAUUACUGUGAUCUUGCCUGAAUUUGGUGUUGAUGCAGCUCCGGUGGCUUCCAGCAGCACCCAUGUGCCAGCUGCCAGGCCUUGCCUGCUUUCAAGGAGGCCUUUUGUUGCAAAAGAAAACUUUUAUAUGGACAGCAGCAACAACAAAGUAAAAACUUAGGUUCUGAUGACUCUACAGACUGAUGUUUCCAACAGAAUUUAUAGAUAACAAAUAGAAAUAUCCCAGCAGUAAAAUCACUGCAUUCUAUUACUGAUCCCGGAACAUCCUGCAGUGCCUUUUCUCAGCCUUUCCAAAAAGCGUGUACACGUGUCCUGUCGUAGAUGACAGAACACAUUUUGUCUUUCUUUAUUUCUCCCGACCUACAAAACUGUCACUUUCAGACAUGGAUCUCUUGCUCCUGCAUUAUGUCAGCUUGUAAGGAAAGGCCACGAAUCUAUUAAAACGAUUACCAGUAAAGAUGUGCACCCAGCAGCCACCGACAGGACCGGCCCGGCCCCACGGCAGAACUGCUGGCACACUCUGACAAAGGCAGAAAAGUCAAUUCUCUGUUCUUUUUUCAAUGCCUGUGCAUUUACCAAAUUCCCCAAAUGUUUGCAUCACUUGAGGAAAAAAGCAUAUUACCUUGCAAAGAGUUAUUUAGUUAUUUGCACUGAGAACAGGGCAAGCGGUGACUUAAACUCACUUAAAGUCCUCCAUUUCACCAGAAUGCUGUACUCUUAAGCUGCACGUUCUGAAGCAGCUUUAUACGUCGAAUAGAACCGCUUUUAUUCCACUUCUUCCACCACAGGUGCAGCUUCCACAUCAGAGCAGUUUUUCCUCUAAUAUUUUAAAAAAUGUUUUAAAUGUGACUGUUUUUUUUCUUUCAUAACCAGCAAAUACAAUUUUCAAGACAAAAAAAGGUGAUGAUACCUCUGUGAGAUGCAUGUGAACAGAUUUUCUUUCGGUGUGUGGAGCAGGCCUUGUGCAGGCGAGCAGUGCUGAUGCGUACAGUUAGAAUUGCGAGGGAAGAGCAAGCCAGCACAACACACCACGGCUGCCCGCAUUCCUGCCCUGGAAGAACUCCAGACAGCCUCACAGAGGGGGAUGACUGACCUCACAACCUGUACUACGGUACAGCUUGGAGCCAGGUCCCGAGUUCCCAAACUCUGGUCACUGCCACCCUCUCCUUCCCAAUGGCCGUAUUGGAGGGCAGUCACAAAACUCUUGUGGUAACUUGUGGUCAGGGCAUGUCAGAUGCUGAGGCCCUGCUUCAGAACUCAGGCCACAGAGCAAUCCUCAAGCCAUACCACCCGGUUCUGAUCUCGCUGCUUCCAGUAAUGUGUCCACAUAUUUCUAAAGUGAGCAGACAGACACCGGAUAACCCUCUCCUGCUUCACUGUGCAUAAGCUGUUUUUUAAAGCUUUGCUUCAAAAUGCUGAAAAGUCAUUCUAAAAAUGAAGUUUUAAUUUAUUUUACAUAGAAAACAACUAGUAGGGCUUUCAAUUUUAUAAAUGAUGAAUGUGAUAAAUAAUUGGAGUUGAUCUUUCUAAAUACUAUCUUUUCGAUACUUUGUGACACUUUUUAUCUCGAGAAAAAUGAAUUUUGAUUCCGAAUAUACUGCCUUCUUUUCAUCUUCCCUAAAUUCCUUCUUGCUUUUCAAACAAAUGGAUCCUGGCUGUCCCAUUGCUGAUGCUGGGCACUGCGGGACGCUCCAGGAGCAGUGGUGCUGGGGCCACCCCCACCAUGCACAGAAGCCCUGAGGAGAUCACCACAGCAAAGAUCACAUUUUUGCAGGAUAAAUGUUUAGGGUAUCAAUCAAGGCUUUUUCUAAUUGUGAUUAAUUUGGUUAACACGUAUAAGGUAAAUAUACAUUUAAAGCUUAACAGCUACAUGUGAUAUCCAUCACAGUAGAAACUGUCCAUUUUACUGCACACGAGAGAAACAGGGGCUCAUUAUGUAGGCUUAGUGAUGGGAAAGAAGGUGAUGAACAAUUUUGGGUGAGAAAAGCCUACAGAACUAUCGCUAUGAUCUUUAAGAGUGCUCAGUAGCCACUUAUGGUCAUAUACACUUUAUAACUGUGUUAAUUGCACUUGAAUGAGUACAUGUGCAUUUUCUUUAUCAUCAGUAGAGAACGAGAUAGAAUCUAUCUGGAAAAAAAAAAUCAAAUCUAGCUGUUUAACAAAAUGUGAAGCACGCCUCACUGAAACAGUACAAAAAGACAUGCUUCAAUUGAAGAGCCUUGAGGAAAAAGUCCAUGAGCAGCAGAGCAGAGCUGAUCUCUUGUUUCCUUGAGAGGUUUCCUUGAGAGCCAGACCUUCCAAUCAGCCUGCUUUCCAGUACCUGAUUCUCUGCUCUUCUGUUCUUGGACUACUGGCAGUGAGUCCACAGGAGCCAAACAAACCUGAGUCUCACAACUUGUGACACUGGACACGUCUGCAGUGUACUCACAAACUAAGCACUAUAAAUCCAAAAUAAAAAUAAACCAACAGCUUAAUCAGUUCCUGAAAACUUAACCUUCUGAAAAACGCUGCUCUGGAACAGUAUUACUCCACGCAGGACAGGAGCUAAAAAGCAUACAAGUAGCACAAUGGUGACCUUAGCUCUCCCAAGUCAGAUUUCAGUCUUGAACAAGCGAGUAAUGUGUUGCACGGAGGUUUUGCUAUGUCCUAUUUCCUAUGUGUAGCCAUUAUAUAGCUAUACAAUGUGAAAGAGCAGAAUUCCAUGGAAAAAUAUCAGUAAUUCAGCACAGUAUCAAUUUGCUUCAACAUACAGAUCCUGCAUAUCAUCACCUGAUAUGUCCCAAACCAACACCUUAUUUUUUUAACCCUGCACUGCUGCGUAACUUCAGCUGAAUUGCCACGCUUGUCUGAAGUGCUCACAUGGACGCAGUUUGAGUAGGUCAGUGCUGGAAGUGCCUCUGCCUGCAAGCUUAGUGUGACAGCUGCAUCCAGGUGUCAGUCUGUAACUUCAGCAAAUAAUUAACUGCUACCGAAUGCCACAGCCACCACAGGCACACUUACAGUGACCAAGAGCGUGCUCCUGAAUCCCGUGUGCUGCAGGCAUCGGCCGCCUCUCACACUGUACAAUUUAUAGUGUCCUUCAUUCUGUCAUCAAUAUACGUGUGCUACAGUUGGAGCCACAAUAAAGCUCAACUUAUCCACUAACAACCUUUAAACACCUACUAGAAUUUCAUUUAAAAGUCACCUACAAGUACAAAUUAUGCUUAGAUCCUUUAGGCUGCUGGUAUCAAAAUGUAAGCAGUAGCGUAGACUUGAAUAGCCUUACCAAGCUCAGACUUACUCGUCACAGCAUGCUAUAACAUCUUUUAUCAGUACACAAAUUAGUCAUCUUCACAUUGAUUUAAAGAUACAGACCAUGCACACGCACAUGCACACGCACACACACUGGGCACGCACUGAAGAAACAGGCUGUCUGGAGAGGGAGAGACGUGCAACUGACAUAGUUUGUCAGCAAAGGAACUGUGGAGGGGACAACAGAAAUGUUCCUUCAGGUUGGACCAUUUUCUGCGGGUUUAAGCUGUCUCUCUUUGCUAGAAAUAUCUUUUCUUUUCUCCCAGUUCACUUAUGCCAAACAACUACUCUUUGAAACAUCACUUUGUCUUCUGCUAGGUUUUUAUGGAGAAAAAAACAGAGACCUUUUAUAAGCUACAACAGUGCUUAGAAAGCCAUUUCAUGUUUAAUUUGGGGGAUGCUAGUGUUACCUGUCCACAUUUUACUGCUGAAGGUGACGUUAAAGUUGAAAUAUUGUUGCAUAUUUAAGUGUGCAGUAGCCCGUUACUGAGUGCAGCAGUAGCUUAGUGCUAAGUUUAGUGUCCAUUGUAAGACCAGAACGCAUUGGUUUCCUUUGCAGAACAAAGUGACCACCAAAAGCGGGACUUUGUGGGCCAGUUGGAUAAAACAUAAGCUCAUCUCGCCCCCAAAACCCCGACUCUGGAACCACAGCCUUCUGAGAUUCAAUUUGUAAGUCAAGUAUCUUUGUAAGAUACACCCAAUUAAUUGAGAGAAUCACUACUUAUAAGUAGCUAACCUGGGAACUGAUAAAUGAGACUUGUAUCCAAGUCACAACACACACUGCCUUUUCUGGACGGCAGGAAUUAAUUGCUAACAGAUACCUUGCGGUCUUACUCACACGUCAGGAUUGGUUUGUUUAGUUAAGCAGCACCUUCUGUAAGCGCCCAUAAAGUCACAUUGAACCCACCCAGAGCAGCAGAUUUACCAGACCCAGCAUCCAAAGUAUCUAUUCUUAUCUUUCCAAAGGAUCAGCUUGUGUGUCUGUUCUUCUGUAUCGCAGGCUAAAGCAGAACCGUUGCAGGAGGUGUCUGCCCUGACUCCUGCUGGGUUACAGCUGCGGCCCUCCACAAGGGGCUUCACGCGACCCGAGCGCGGCCGUUCCCUGCUGACAGCGGCAGGUCGAGCGCUCCGCUGGGUAUCUGCAUCGCACAGCCCUCAGCACUGCGUUCCUCCACAACUUCUUUAAGGGAUGAGGAGAGCUCUGCAUACAAAGGGAACGUAUUUUCUGAAUCCUCCGUUUAUAAUUCCUACAGGUUUUCUAAAUAAAUACCGAGUUUAAAAGCAUUAUAGUUUACACUUGGCGGCCGAAGUAGGUAAAUGCUGUCAGUUACGUUAAAGAAACGAAUUACUGUGCUUGAAAAGCCACUACUACGUUUAUGCUACUUUUGGAAAUCCAAAUCUGGAGCCAAGGAAUGCUGUGCUAGCCGGACUGCAUGCUCAGCAAACACAUCUCGAGAGAAAAACGCGAAGUAGAUUGCAGACAUUCCGACUAAGCGGUACGGAUAAACGCGGGCCUGCAGCAACAGCAACGGACGGAUUCG